AAAUAACGAUUGUGUAUGCAAAUGUCAAUGGUUGGUAACGCCCAUAAUAUGAAUAUUCAUGAGCUUGACUGAUAUUAUUAUCCUCUAUUCCAGGCACCUUUCCAUUUUGUGUUCUUUGUGCAUUCUUAUCAGAAAUCCUACGUGCGGUAAAUAAGUCUCUGUAUCACCAUUCUCCUUCUUAUUUGUAUGCAGAUUUGGUUAUAAUGAUUGAUAACUGUAAUCAUCCUCAUUAUUUUAAUAAGAAAUUUUUCUAUCUGUGAUGGAAGUUUUUAUGUACGAUUGCCUGAUCUGAAGACAAGACUUUCGCUGCAUGCAUAUUUAAUGUAUGACGUCACCCACACAGAGUGAGAGCUCGAAGUUUUCUUUGAAAGUUUGAUGGAAAAUGUACAGAGACUUGUCGCAGUUAAUGCAGUACCAAAUGCUUGCUUUCUUGGAGUAUGUGCUUGAAACAAGAAUGUCCUGGAGAAAACAGACCACCACAAGAGAAGGGAUUGAGAAGGAGGGCUUCCUGUUGACAGAUCAGGGGGUGCCUUGAGGUUCCACUCUUGAUGUUCUGCCCCUUACCUGAAAGCGAUGGCCUCUUGUGCCUGACAUAUUAGGAGCAAAGCA